UGGGGAAUAUUGCACAAUGGAGGGAACUCUGAUGCAGCGACGCCGCGUGAGUGAUGAAGGAAUUCGUUUCGUAAAACUCUGUUCUAUGGGAAGAAAAGGACUGUACCAUAGGAGAAAGCUCCGGCUAAAUACGUGCCAGCAGCCGCGGUAAUACGUAUGGAGCGAGCGUUGUCCGGAAUUAUUGGGCGUAAAGGGUGCGCAGGCGGCUUUACACGUUGGAUGUGAAAUAUUGUGGCUCAACCACAAACGUGCAUCCAAAACUGCAAAGCUUGAGUUAAGGAGAGGUAAGUGGAAUUCCUGGUGUAGCGGUGGAAUGCGUAGAUAUCAGGAGGAAUACCGGUGGCGAAGGCGACUUACUGGACUUAAACUGACGCUCAGGCACGAAAGCGUGGGGAGCAAACAGG
rnacentral:rRNA from 1 species